UAAGCGCCCUUUUGGCUUUUCAUUUUCCCUUCGUUAGCUCUAAGAAACCCCCCUCCCCACACACACACACACACUCUCUCUCUCUCUCUAUCAAAAUCUCUUUCACUCUUAAAAUCUCCAAUCCUCAGCACAUGCCAAACCCACCCAACUCACUAGAGAUCGAACUCGACAGAGACCCACUGCUUCUCACGUCGUUGCCAAUCUCCAACAACAUCCAAGCCCAACCUAGAAUCUUAGUGAUAAUGAUGAUGAUGAUGAUGAUGAUGAUGGGAAAGUAGUUCUUGGUGAAGUUGUCACUAUUGGUUGUUCUGACUGUGGUGUUGUGCUUUUAAAGAUUGCAAAAAGAAGAGGCAUUACAAGUUCGUGUAAUCAAAGCAAGUGAAUUUGUUUGUGUUAGACUUAAGCGAAAAUAUUCUGUCCUUGGUGAUCCUACUACAUAUGUGACUUUGAAGAAAUUUACUUUACAGAAAAUUGGGAAGGCUUGGAGGGAUCAUAAGUGUAGGUUGAAAAGUAAGCAUUACAUAUCGGAUGCAAGAAAAAAAGCACGGGUAAAGAACAAUCGAUCAAAGGGAUGCAUACCAGAAGAUUGGGAUGUACUUGUUGAGCGUUGGUAUACGAAUAAUGUAGUGAUAGAGUCAGAGAAGAAUAAGGACUGUCAUUCUAAGCAGGAUGAGUUACAUAUCGCUGGUUCUUGUAGCUAUGUUGUACAUGCAACAAGAAGGUAAUAAGUAUUAUGACUAAUUUUUAAAUGAUUUUGACUUCUCCUAAGUUUCUGUGAAACCAAUAUUCAUCACUACAUAAAUAUGUUGUUCAUGCAAUGUAGGCAAAAACGGAUGGACGUCUUGUAGAGUAUGCAGAAUUAUAUCCAAUAUUGCAUAAUCGUAAAGAUGGAUCAGUAGUUAAUCCCGCAGUGAAAGAAAAAAUGGACAAAAUGAAGGAAUUGUUGGCUAACCCUGCAAAUUACUUGCAGUCAUCUAACACAAGUGGUAGCAUUGCAUGGUCAACAGAUGAUGUGUUUGUCAAAGUGAUGGGCAAGGAGCGCAAAGGUCGUAUAUGUGGGGUAGGAUUUGGUCCAAGCCCAGGUGGUCAAAGUAGUAAGAGUGCUCUAGGAUAGUCAAAUACAAUCAAGUCAAGCAAGGGACGACGAAGUUGCACAACUGAAGGCUUUCUUGGCUACUAUGCAGGAGAAAAUGGCAUGUCUUGAUGAAAUGAAGGUAAAACUUAGUCAAUGCAAAGAUGUGGAGCAAAGAAUGGCUUGCAUGCUUCAACAACUGCAACAAUUUUCUUCAUAAUGCAAUCAGGUAUGAUAAAUGACUUUUAGACUGUCAUAAAAUUAAUUUGGCUGAAUAUGUUUGAAAUUUCAUUGACAAAAAAGAGUAGGUUUCCUAUGCUAUUGGGAUAAAUUUUGAACACCUAUUGGCUUAAGGAUAGCUUUUAGUUGUUGAGAUGAUAGAAAAAGGAGGGAACUUUUUGAGGGAUUUUUUAUUUUUAUUUUUUAGAUGGAGAAAAGUAUCUCUAGUUUUGUUUUUGUGGUAUUUGGAAGUUGUAGAUAUUGAGGAAGGUUGUUUGUAGUUUCUAGUUGUCAAAAAGGAGGGAUUUUUCUUGGGUUUCCAGACUCUGUUGUUGGGAGUUCUUGUUGCUAGAGUUUUGGAGGGUUGAGUUGGCUGUGUUUGAGUGGGAAAGGAGUUACCUUUUCCAAAAGCUUUUCAGCAUGCCAACCAAUGUGUCAAAUUUUUUUAGUUUUUGUUUUAUUUAAUUCCCCUGCAAUGCUUUUACAAUAGGCACAAUAUAACCUAGACUGAAGAAAGACUUCACAAUGUACUCACUACAAUGCCUUUGAGAUUGAUUACUAUUUGGUUCGUGUUAUUGUUCCUUGAGAGAAUUGUAUGAGCAAGUUGAGGUACAUAAUGACCAGCAUAGCUUUCUCUAGUUAUAAAGAAAUCUCUAUUUCUUUGCCUUGGUAAUAUUUUCUUGUCAUUCUAUUCCAUUUAUAUGCACUUAUUGAGUAAUCGUACUUUGUAUGUACGAUGUUCCUCCGAUCCAACAAUCUCCACCUUUCCAAAAUUCAUCAGCUGCAUCCCAUCAACAAAGAAACUUAUAAGUUUUAUCUUGGUAUUCGAGGACUUUUUUGUUAACAAAGAACUUCAUUUGAACAACCGCAUUUUUUGCAAGUGUUGAAGGAUAUUUUUAAACACUUUGGAACUUUGAUUAUGGUAUUAGCUUGAUUUGAGCGGUUGUUUUAUUCAAAGGACCACAUCAUUUUUUGUUAAUCUUAUGAUGAUGGUUAUAGAAAAUGUUAUGUAUUUGAUAUUAUAUUUCUAUGUUAAUAUUAUGUUAGUUUGGAGACAUUUAUGGUGUUA